CUUGAAAAAAUGUAAACUAAAAGACUUAUUUGUCCACUGUUAGUACUUUUGGAAGCUGAAUGCCAUGCUGAUUAGAUAUUUGCAAAGAAGAAAGAUAUGUAUUCAGGUACAAAGGUUUCAUCAAAGUCACAAUACUCUGAGAGAAAGCGUACAAGACGCAGCGGAAGGGCGAGUGAGAGCAAAGCGAUGUAAUUACAUAAAAGCUUAAGAAGAAGGAGCCGAACAGGAGCAGAACCAGGGAGCAGCCAGAGGCAGAGCCCUAGCCCGAGCAGCUACAAGGGCAACGCACCAUGCAAAUAACAGUAAAAGAACAGGAACUAGCACGGCAACAACAAGAACAAAAACAGAAACGCACAACACAGAGAAAGAGAGAGAGUACGAGUUACGAAGAAAGCGGGCGGAGGGGGAGCGAUGCAUAGCGUAUGUGUGCCAGCCAUGUGGACGUACGUUGAGUGAGAGAGGGUUCAUUUGAGCGGAACUCAAAAUGAAAGAGAAUCAGGACGGACGCCAGC
rnacentral:lncRNA from 1 species